UUUGAUGAUUUACACAAUCGAUAAGGUUAGGAGUUUUACUAUCAUUCAAAAUACUCUUAAGUCUGUUUAUCUAUCUAUCUAUCUAUCUAUCUAUCUAUCUAUCUAUCUAUCUAUCUAUCUAUCUAUCUAUCUAUCUAUCUAUCUGACAGAUUGACAGAUAGAAAAGUCAGAUUAACUGAAUACCAUUUAAUAAAUCAAUAGCAAUCACUACAAAUAAGGUAGUCCCUGAAAAAUGGAUCAUAUAAAUCUUUAUUUCUUCAUUUGUUCUGAUCAAAAUGUAUUUGCCCAUAGGCAUCUGUCCAUUUGGCUAUUCGUUGAGUUUUGAAAUUUAAGUAUGCACACUAUGCAUAAAUGAGCCAAAAUAGUGUCAUUUCACAGCAAAAGAAAAAUGUCUUAAUUGCUUCUUUUUUUCACAAAGACAUUAAUUACUGACGGAAAUAAGCACACACACAUGCAUACAGUGAAUAACAGGGAGUAGCUGAGAUUAAUUUGUCUCCUGUUGUCACUAAAACUGUUUAAAUUCAAACAAUAGAAUACUAUUUUUCCAUUUUGAGCUAUCCUAAUUUUUAAUGGGUACAUGCAGAAAGUAGGCUUAAAACCCACAAUGUAUUCCCAACUUCUAACAAAAAUGUUAAUCAAAGAAUAAUGUAAUUACAAAUUACAACUUAACAAUUUUAUGAAAAACUGCAUGAAGAAAUCCAGUGAGACUCCAGGGUCCAUGUGUACAAAAAGAUGUGACCUCUCUAAAUUCUGACUGUGCCCAGAAUGAGAAACAGAAAUGGAGCAAUGAAAGAUAGCUUCCUGGUUAAAUGGAUGAGUUGUGUUGAACUGAACUGAACUGAACUACAUUUGGCAGAAGGGAAUAAAAAAGUUUCAAAUCACGUAAGAACCAAGGCACCAUGCAGGAUCUGCUAUUAAUCUGUGAAAGAAAAAAAUGCACAAAGUUUCCUGCUUGAUUCAGUGAUGCCUACCUUUGUGUAAUGAACAUGUGAAGACCGAAAUUGAAGCUGCCAGUUGGUCAUGAACCAAAGAGAUGAUCUUUGAGACAGUGGACUAAUUGACUACAACUUGUUGGGAAUUGGCUUUGAGACCCUUCAUAGACUCAGGUUACAUUUAAACCAGCAUUUCUUAAACAUCCAAGACUGCACUAAGAUGCAAAGGAUGAGAUUCCCAGUCAUUAGUGAAAAUGAAAACAUCAUCCAGAUUAUGAACAUGGUGAUGAAGUUUCAAAUUCAUUCACUGCCCUACUUUCAUCAACGAAAAAAGAAAUUGCAAAAAUCUUGAAUUGUCGGGAGCACACAGCACGAUCGAUCAGUUCACAAUAUGGAGAUGAAAUGAAGAAAAAGACAAAAACAACUUUAAGAACUUUACUUUUAAAGGCUCAAGGCAAGUAACCUGCUUCUUCAGUACUCUGUAACCAAAAGACCAUUAUAUUGUCUGCUUUUGUUCCACUAAGUACAGAAUAAAAAAAAUGAAAACCCAAGAAGGAACACAAUGGAGGUCUGUUCAGCUGCAGUUAAUGACAUUAUUGUGUGAAACAUUUUUUGUUCUCUUCACAUGACAAAGUAAAUGCUGCAUUAUGAUUCAGCUGUAUGAUAUCUCAAAAAACGUUUUUCUUGUAAAAAGUGCUUUCCUCUAAUUGUUUCUGACAUAAAAUGUUUAUGCUGUCCAAUUAGUGGGGUGUGUGAAAUGCAUAUUUGUGUGGCUCUUCCAAUAUACUUUAAAAUGCUGGCUAGUCUCUUGACGUAGAUACAAAUAUUUCAAUGAUUUGCCUUUUUUGUAGAUUACAUGGGGUAUAACAUUUUAUAUGCAAUUGUUAAAAUGUGUGGGAAUUAGCAGAUAUAAUGUUCUAUACUUGCAUUACAUAUCACUUGCCAUAGCAGAACAUCGACUAAAUACUUGUAACAUGAAAUUUGGGGCACUGAAAGAGACACUUAUAUUUGCUUUCUCUUUUUCAUUUAAAAUUUUGUGUUUGGUAUAAACAUCCAGCACUUGAACUUGUGGGAUCAAUUUCUCAUUUUUUGGGAAUUAUUGUCUGUUUUUAAACACUUGUGUGUACAAGUAAAAUGCAUUAAAUCUCUAUUUUUUUAUGUAUCAUAUAUGUUUUAUAUAAAAUGAAUCAGUUACAGCAGUGACAUUAUUUUUAGAUUAAAUAAAUGUGUAUCUAUUUAAAUAAUGCCAGCCCACUUCUGACUUGCACCCCCUAUAUUGCAUAUUUUACUAGAAAGAAACUUUAAAGUAUUAAAAUGUAUACAGUUUUUUUUGUUUAGGGUUUUUUUUUUUUCAUUUUAUUUUUAAGCCUUUCUGGCACAAUUUAAUUACAAUGAUGAUAGAGAAGCAGAAAUUUCAUUGAAUCACUGCCAUUUUUUAAGUGUAUUUAUUUAUUUUUUACUCAUCAGAAUGUUGUAUUACUGUAAUUUAAAACAUCUACCUCAAUGUUUAAUUGUUUGUCAUUGAAAUUACUUAAUGCCUUGUCAAAUUCUUGUAUUGUACGAGUGAUGUUUCUUUUCUUCUAAAGCAAUAAUUAAAAAAUGUUAAGUCUGAACCUGUAAGCGGUGUUAUCAACUGUGAUGUGCAGCAAUUGAAAAUGUACCUGUAAACCUGUUGUAUGAUUUAAAUUCAGACAUGUGCUCCAACAAAGGCUUUUAAUAUUGUGUAUCUUAUUCUGUUAUGAAAUCACUGCAAAACUGAUUCCCUACAAUCAUUCUAAAACACUCUGAGAUUCAUAGUGGUGUAAAACAUCAUUGGCAAGCAGUGCUAAUAUAAUUCUCAAAAGAUCACUCAAAUCCUUAAAGAAGUAUAACAAAUUGUUGAUAUGUCUAUUUACAUCUAUAAUGAAUGUAUGUAGAAAAGCUGUUUAAAACAUCAAUGCCAAGUGAAGUUGAUCUAAGCUAAAUUAAUUUGAUCUGUAUUUUCUCUUUUCAGAAUUCAAAUGUUAAUCAAAUGGGCUAAAUAAUGAUUACUGAUAAAGAAAUGGGUACA